CCCUUUUCUCAGAAAGUCACAUCAAGACCCCAGCUUCGCAAGGGACUCACCUUUUAGACUUUUUUUUACCUUAAUUCCGAUUACAGUUAUACAUCACAGACUGGUGCUAUAGUUCUCAGCAUGACCAAAAAUGGGAAGGUUGGAAUGAAUCAGACAUUGAAGGGGAAUUCAGGACACUGGCCUACCCUAGCAACCCCAUUCUUCCUCUGCCCAAGUACGUGCUCGCAAGAAGGAAGACCGUGUUGGGCAUUCAGUAUUCUAGAGGUCCAAUCACCACAAACUUUUAUCUAUCUUAGCCAGUGCUGGGCUGCUAAAUGGUAAAUGGAGUAAAAAAAAGAGCUUUGAUCUGUAGGUUUUGCCAAUUUCCAUGGUGUAAAUAUUCUCCCUGUGGCCAAUUUCAAGCUGCCGAUGUGAUAUUACUAAACAA